ACCUGUGUGGUGUAGUGGUUUGAAUAUUGGACCAAGACUCUGGAGACCAGGAUUCAAAUCCUGCUCAGCCA
rnacentral:tRNA from 1 species